UCAAGGCUCAAUCUCAUCUCCUCCAAGCAUCCUCAGCAUCCUCCGUCAGCUCCAAAUGCUAGGAUUCUGCUCCGACCUCAACCCCUUCAUCGAAGAAUCCAACAAGAAAUCACAAAGUUCUCUCUUUGACAGGAUCAUCUCUGCAUUCUUGGAAGAAACCCAUCAGAAUCAAGAAAUCCUUUCCAUCCAACUAAGCUCACGAAUGACAAGAGCGUGGACCUUUUUUUAGCUAAAUCAGGGAGUUGCUGAAAAUGGUGGGUGCGACUCCAUCACCGCAAAUCAGCUAUGGGGUUCAGUGGCCAAGAAAACUGGGUGCAAUUUGAGAGACGGGUUGCUGGUGGAAUUAGUCUAUUUGAAGUAUCUUGAUGAGUUCAACAGGCUUUUAUACGGCACAUCUUUUAAUAGCAAAAAAUAGGAGACCAAGAUUUCAUCUCUUCUUGAUGAUGAUGAUGAUGUUAUCUUGGAUUAUGUUGAGGCUGAGCAAGAAAUUUCGCGGGUGAAGAAGGGGCAGAGGAAGAGGGAGCACAGGAAGAGGGAGCACUCUCUAGUGGGGAUGUUAGAUUGGUUGUUAUCGGCAGCAAGGAGACCUUGGGAUCCUUCAACUGGAAACAUAGAAUAGGAUUCUGCAUCCCAUUUGAUGUUUUCCGAACCGCUCAUGGCUCGAGAAGCAAUGUUUCAUAAGAUAAAACCAAUGCUACUCGGCGUACUCGCCAUACACAUGGGGAACUUGAACUUGAACGGCUUAACACUUCUGUCAAAUGGGUUCUUGAACUUGGCGUGGUCUGCUAGAGUUAGAAAAUUUGAAAUUUUUUCUGUUUUUGCAAAUUAAAGAGUCAAACAUAUAACCAGCAAACAUAUUGUUAUUGGAAGUCAUGUUCGAUGAGUUAUUUACUGUGUAUUACCGAUCUGUUGUUGGUCAAGCAAGGUUAAAGGAUCAUUCUAGGUCCACCUCGUUUAUAUUUGACAUGGCCUGCUAGCACAACCUUAUAGUAUCACAUAAUCAUAUCUAUGCAUGGUACGUAGAUUACCUAAAAAACAAUCUUGUUUUAUCAGUUAUUUUGUCAAGUCUCAAGUCUAUAUAUCUUUUUGAUUUACAAGAAUGUUGUACUUUUCAUGUAUAUAGAAUCUGUCAGUCAUCAAUUUGAGAUACAUUUGAAAUGCUAUUUUGAUCCAAUUUUCAUAUACUCACUCCAGUCGGAACUUGUUAGACUAGCAAAUAUUUUUAGCAAUUCAAUUAAAGCAUGAAGUUGUUUCCACUACGUAUUGUUCUUUUGCUACCUAGGAUAUGAUAAGGUGAAAAUGUUUGCAUGUACCUGAAUUUCCCAAUUUUUGCUUCACGUUUGUAGAUGUGACAUAAAUAUGAGUCAUAUGCAGAUACAAUAAGAUGAUAAAUCACCACUACUUAAUUCUCAUAAGUCAUAAAUUUUUUUCUUUUCUUUUCUUUUCUUUUUGUUUGUCUUUUCAGCUUUGGAUAUGGUUGCAGCUGAUAAAAUCAGGAUUGAUUUGUUCAUGAAAAACAAAGUGAAACAUACCACAUCUAUGGUAUUCAUGAUUAUUAAUUCACUGCUUUCUUUAUCCUAAUUUCACAAUGCAUCAUGAUUUAAUUUCAGUUUUGAAACCAACAAUUAUACUGAAUCUGUCCUAGUGCCAACAUUGUAUGAAACUGGUGUUUCAGAACGUUAUUUGAAUAAAUUUAUAUCUGUAGUAAUGUAAUCAAGCAAAAGCAUUUCUGCUUAAUAGAUUGCAGAUCGGCAUGAGAAUCCUUGACAAGUGGCAGAGAAGUUACAUUUCAUCCGAGGAUAUAUUAGAUGUUGUCCGAACACCACCCAAAAGCAAAACUUAUGUGAUCCAAGUGGGCAAAUCCUUUCAAGCUCAAGUGCCAGAUUGGAAUCCAAGAGCUUACGGAAGUUCUAACAAUCGAGAUGAAUUAAAACAGUUAGGCAUACAGAUCUGGCCUACUGCACAGAAGAAGGCUGACAGAUACGCUGAUUGAGAGGGAUCCAAUAGGCAAAGACAGACUAGACGCCACCUGCGGGUGUCCCCGUCUCCAGGUUCUGUUGAAUGUGUCACAGACUUCAUGUGCAGGAGAAAAGAAAAUGACUGAAACUUGAACUGGGUCCAGCUUUCAGAGGUUGCGAUUUGAUGAAAUGGGUGAAGAAGUUGCACGAGGAUGGACCGAGGAAGGGGAGAAGUUUGAGGACUUGUAUAUUGCUUGAAGGCGCGGCACUCUCGAAAGGAGUCGUGGGGUGAGCUUAAGUCAGGCCUUGUUUAAUGUGCUUCUUCUCAGGCGCAGGAGCGAACAGAAGCGGGAGACGCUGGAAAAAGUCAGCAGUGAGUUAUGGGAGAGAAAGAUCCACUGUCUGUUCUAGUUUUUGCAGCUAGCUUUGGGACUGAGAGAUACUUACUCCAGUGUCUUCUUAACUCAAGACUUUUUUUUGGUUACAGUAGGUACAACUGAAGGAUACAAAAUCCAUUACUAAAGAAAUUGGUGUUGUUUCUUGUAACUUGCAUAGUUAUGCCGGAUUCAGCAAGAUUCCAUACGUGAAAAUUAUGCUCACCUAUACAUUAUCCUCGUAUUUGUACUGUAUUGGAGAAAUUUUUCUAGUACAGUUUUUUUUUUUCGUCACUAACAAUUUGUGGAUGAAUUAGUUGGUCCUUCUUGCAAGUUUAA